UAUACACUUUUAUCAUGGAUAAUAGCCCUAUUAGCUAGACGGCAAUACAGUUACAUAUAUUAUCUACGGAUUGCGCCGUUUCGUAACACUCCCUCCCAAUACCGCCCAAUGAAGUCAGUCGCUCCAAAUAAGCGUUGCGUUGUCGGUUAUUGACACUCAUCGUUCUUAUCGGGCCUCGGAUUAAUGUGCAUAUACUAUAUAGAUACAUAGACACCAUAUAGGGUCCAUAGUGUGUAUGUAGAGAGUCCAGAGUCAAGUCCCAUCUGGCUUCAGUUGCAACUGAUUUACCAGAUGAGCCAGUAUGUUCAAGUCCAAGUUUUUUUCUGUAUCCGAAAUUAUAAAACCAGAUGAUAUACAUACAUAUGCAUGUCUGUGGACUUUGCACAGGGAAUAUACGGCAUUCAUUACGACGUUAUCGCUCUUUCGAGAAAAAAAAAAAAAAGAAUGUACUCAAUGCGCAUUUCUGUAGAUUGCCGAUUCUUGUUGUUCAGAUAAGCAAGCCAAAUAAAGUCUUUAUAGAUUUUCUUUA